rnacentral:rRNA from 1 species
AUUGAACGCUAGCGGGAUGCUUUACACAUGCAAGUCGAACGAGUGGCGGACGGGUGAGUAAUAUAUCGGACCGUGCCCAGUAGAGGGGGAUAACUACUCGACAGAGUGGCUAAUACCGCAUAAUAUGGGAGCGGCCGAUAUCGGAUUCGCGAGGUGGUGGGGUAAAGGCUCAACAAGGCAACGAUCCUUAGGUGGUUUGAGAGGACGACCAGCCACACUGGGACUGAGACACGGCCCAGACUCCUACGGGAGGCAGCAGUGGGGAAUUUUGGACAAUGGGGGAAACCCUGAUGCAGCCAUGCCGCGUGUAUGAGAAGGCCUUAGGGUUGUAAAGUACUUUUGGCAGAGAAGCGGUAUCUGCAGAAGAAGCACCGGCUAACUACGUGCCAGCCGCCGCGGUAAUAC